UAUAGUAACUAUUAACUAUUGUCACAUGUGGUAUUGUUUGUUUUAAGACACACUUUGCCAUGCAGGCCACUGGAUGCUGACUACUGAAGGUUAGGUUGUGUGUGACUGUGACGUGCUCAGCACAGCUUCAUGUCUGGCCUUCCCACUCUGUUCAUAGCAUGUUACAUAUUCAAUCUUGAGUACCAGGAUGGGGCAAGCGUGUAUCUUGGAGUCCAAUGAAAGAUAUUAAUCCAGAGAGUGGAACAAGAAGAAGCAUCAUCUAAAAUGCCAGGAAACAGAAGAAACAGGUUGCAGUGAACCCACAUGUUGCCGCUCUACACAAUGAUGAAUUUUCAUUGUAAUCGAUGAAAAUUCUAGCUACUUGUUGUGCUCUGAUGGAUCAAGAUGUGGACCGUUUUACAGACUCACUUGGGCCUUGUUUUGCAAUUUUGUUUCAUGAUGGUAAUGUCGG